ensembl:lncRNA
UGUUUGAGUUUUUUGUUUGUUUGUUUGUUUGUUUGUUUGUUUGUUUAAAGAUCACCUGUACCUGUUUGAGUUUUUGUUGUUUGUUUGUUUGUUUAAAGAUCACCUGUACCUGUUUGAGUUUUUGUUGUUUGUUUGUUUGUUUAAAGAUCACCUGUACCUGUUUGAGUUUUUUUUUGUUGUUUGUUUGUUUGUUUAAAGAUCACCUGUACCUGUUUGAGUUUUUGUUGUUUGUUUGUUUGUUUAAAGAUCACCUGUACCUGUUUGAGUUUUGUUGUUUGUUUGUUUGUUUAAAGAUCACCUGUACCUGUUUGAGUUUUUGUUGUUUGUUUGUUUGUUUAAAGAUCACCUGUACCUGUUUGAGUGUUUGUUUGUUUUUUUUUUUUGUUGUUUGUUUGUUUGUUUAAAGAUCACCUGUACCUGUUUGAGUGUUUGUUUGUUUUUUGUUUGUUUGUUUGUUUGUUUGUUUAUCACCAGUACCUGUUUGAGUUUUUUUGUUUGUUUGUUUGUUUGUUUGUUUGUUUGUUUGUUUAAAGAUCACCAGUACCCGUUUGAGUUUUUGUUUGUUUGUUUGUUUGUUUGUUUGUUUGUUUGUUUGUUUGUUUAAAGAUCACCAAUACCCGUU